AUGAAUGCUGGCGGCGUGCCUUAGGCAUGCAAGUCAAGGGGGUUCCCGCAAGGGAACAACCGGCAGACGGGUGAGUAACGCGUAGGAAUCUGCCUCUAGGCGGAGCAUAGCCCCUCGAAAGAGGGGAUAAUUCUCCAUAAUAUGUCAACUCGACAGAGUUGCCAUUAAAGAUCGUAACUGGUCACCAAGAGAGGAGCCUGCGUCCUAUUAGCUAGUUGGUAGGGUAAUGGCCUACCAAGGCGACGAUGGGUAGCUGGACUGAGAGGUCGGUCAGCCACAAUGGCACUGAGAUACGGGCCAUACACCUACGGGUGGCAGCAACCGGGAAUAGUUCGCAAUGGACGAAAGUCUGACGACGCGACGCCGCGUGGAGGAUGACGGUUUUCGGAUCGUAAACUCCUUUUGCCAGUUCACAUGAACUGGAGAAUAAGUACCUACAAACUCCGUGCCAGCAGUAGCGGUAAUACGGGGGGUACAAGCAUUAUCCGGAAUCACUGGGCGUAAAGUAUGCGUAGGCGGUUUUCUAAGUCCUAAUUUAAAUACCAUGGCUCAACUAUGGGAAGGGUUGGGAUACUAGGAGACUUGAGGAUUGGUGGGGGGUACUGGAACUUGUGGUGUAGCAGUGAAAUGCGUUGAUAUCACAAGGAACACCAAAGGCGAAGGCAAGUACCUGAACAAUUCCUGACGCUGAGGCAUGACAGCUAGGGGAGCGAAAAAGAUUAGAGACCUUUGUAGUCCUAGCCGUAAACGAUGUCUGCUAGAUCUCCCGAGUUUACUCGGGGGGUCGUAAGGUAACCCGUUAAGCAGACCGCCUGGGGAGUACGGCCGCAAGGCUAAAACUCAAAGGAAUUGACGGGGAGGCGCACAACCUGUGGAGCGUGUGGUUCAAUUCGAGACGAAGCGAAACACCUCACCAGGGCUUGAAUGCUAUCGUUUAAGUCUGAUGAAAGUCGGACCCAUCCGCAAGGAUGAUAGUACAGGUGUUGCAUGGCCGUCGUCAGCUCUAGGCGUGAGCUGUAGGCUUAAGUGCCAUAUAGAGCGCAACUCUCGCCCAAUGUUAAAUUAAUCAUUGGGGACUGUCCCGACAUAUGUCGGGAAGGAAGGUGGGAAAGACGUCAGGUCAGCACGACCCUUAUGCCCUGGGCCACACACACCCUACAAUGGCGAAUAACAACGAGUCGCAAGCCGGUAACGGCAAGCUAAUCUCUAAAAUUUCGCCUCAGUUGGGAUUGGGGUCUGAAACUCGACCCCAUGAACGCGGAAUAGGUAGUAAUCGCGGAUCAGCAGGCCGCGGUGAAUACGUUCUCGCCUCUUGUACACACCGCCCGUCAAGCGAGCAAAGUUGGGGGCGGCCCAAGUCGCCUUUUUGGCGGCAAAGCCGAACUCAGCGAUGAGCACU
rnacentral:rRNA from 1 species